rnacentral:rRNA from 1 species
ACAAGAGCGUAAGGUGAAUGCCUUGGCAUCAGGAGCCGAAGAAGGACGCGACAAGCUGCGAUAAGCUGCGGGGAGCUGCAAAUAAGCAUUGAUCCGCAGAUUUCCGAAUGUGGAAACACACACGGUGAAGAACCGUGUAGCGUAAACUGAAUACAUAGGUUUACGCGGGGAACCCCGGGAACUGAAACAUCUAAGUACCGGGAGGAAGAGAAAUCAACCGAGAUUCCGCGAGUAGUGGCGAGCGAAAGCGGAGGAGGCUAAACCGACAGUAGAAAUACGGUCGGGGUUCGGACUGUUGUAAGCGAGCGGAAGUUAGUCGAAUGGCAUGGGAAGGCCAGCCGGAGGGAGUGAAAGCCUCGUAGGCGAAAACGGAAGCGAGUGAACAGUAUCCAGAGUAUCAGCGGACACGAGAAAUCCGGUGAGAAUGUGGGGGGACCACCCUCUAAGCCUAAAUACUACCUGAUGACCGAUAGUGGAGCAGUACUGUGAAGGAAAGGUGAAAAGAACCCCGGGAGGGGAGUGAAAGAGAACCUGAAACCUUAUGCUUACAAGCACACAGAGCCCCGUAUGCGGGUGAUGUGGUACUUUUUGUAGAACGGUCCGGCGAGUUAUGGUAUGCAGCGAGGUUAAGUGAUUCAGUCACGGAGCCGCAGGGAAACCGAGUGUGAACAGCACGUAGAGUUCCCGUUGAAAAGUUGGCGGAUGACUUGUGGAUAGCGGAGAAAUUCCAAUCGAACCCGGAUAUAGCUGGUUCUCCCCGAAAUAGCUUUAGGGCUAGCCUCGAAUAUAUUUACCGGAGGUAAAGCACUGAAUGGUCGAGGGGUCGAGAGACUACCAACACCUAUCAAACUAAGAAUACCGGAUAAAUGAGUUCGGGAGUCAGACUACGUGAGAUAAGUCUCGUGGUCAAAAGGGAAACAGCCCAGACCCACAGCUAAGGUCCCCAAUGUAUGCUAAGUGGAAAACGAUGUGACAAUGCUAAGACAACUAGGAUGUUGGCUUAGAAGCAGCCACUCAUUCAAAGAGUGCGUAAUAGCUCACUAGUCGAGUGAUGUUGCGCGGAAAAUUCAACGGGGCUAAGCAUACAACCGAAGCUUGGGCAGUAGUAAUACUGGGUAGGGGAGCGUUCUGUACGGGCAGAAGCAUCAGCGGAAGCAGAUGUGGACUGUACAGAAGUGAGAAUGCCGGAAUGAGUAGCGAGAAUUGUGUGAGAAUCAUAAUGGCCGAAAAUCUAAGGUUUCCGGGGGUAGGGUCGUCCACCCCGGGUUAGCCGGGAGCUAAGGCGAGGCCGCGAGGCGUAGUCGAUGCACAAACGGUAGAGAUUCCGUUGCCGCCAGAUCUUAAGUAACUGACACGAGGGUAGAGUUCAACCCGGCCGAUGGUAGAGCCGGGCGAAAGGGACUGAAGAAUAGUAGGGAAGUGAACGAAGCCAGCGGCGAGAAAAGGUUAUGUAUGAAAUCAGGCGCCCGUACCGCAAACCGACACAGGUAGAUGAGGAGAGGAUCCUAAGGCCAGCGGGAGAAGGGUUGUUAAGGAACUCGGCAUAUUGACCCCGUAACUUCGGAAGAAGGGGUGCCUCCGUAAGGAGGCCGCAGUGAAAAGGCCCAGGCAACUGUUUAUCAAAAACACAGGUUUCUGCAAAAGCGAAAGCUGAAGUAUAGGAGCUGACGCCUGCCCGGUGCUGGAAGGUCAAGGGGAUCGCUUAGCGCAAGCGAAGGCGAGAACUUAAGCCCCAGUAAACGGCGGCCGUAACUAUAACGGUCCUAAGGUAGCGAAAUUCCUUGCCAGGUAAGUUCUGGCCUGCACGAAUGGCGUAAUGAUCUGGGCACUGUCUCAACAGCCCGCCCGGCGAAAUUGUAGUACCGGUGAAGAUGCCGGUUUCCUGCGACUAGACGGAAAGACCCCAUGGAGCUUUACUGUAGUCUGAUACUGAAAUUUGGUUCAUUAUGCACAGGAUAGGUGGGAGACAGAGAAACCCGGGCUUUGGCUUGGGCGGAGUCGCCGUUGGGAUACCACUCUUGAUGAACCAAGUUUCUAACCUGCUCCCGUGAUCCGGGAGGGGGACAAUGUCAGAUGGGCAGUUUGACUGGGGCGGUCGCCUCCAAACGGAUAAAAGCUACCCUGGGGAUAACAGGCUGAUCUCCCCCAAGAGUUCACAUCGACGGGGAGGUUUGGCACCUCGAUGUCGGCUCAUCACAUCCUGGAGCUGGAGAAGGUUCCAAGGGUUCGGCUGUCCGCCGAUUAAAGUGGUACGCGAGCUGGGUUCAGAACGUCGUGAGACAGUUCGGUCCCUAUCUGUCGUGGGCGUUGGAUAUUUGAGAAGGGCUGACCUUAGUACGAGAGGACCGGGUCGGACGCACCUCCUGUGCACCAGUUGUCCUGCCAAGGGCAUAGCUGGGUAGCGGCGUGCGGUUUUGAUAAACGCUGAAGGCAUCUAAGCGUGAAGCAUGCUUCAAGAUGAGAUAUCCCAUCAUUUCAAAUGAGUAAGGUCACUUGCAGACUACAAGUUGAUAGGUCGGGUGUGUAAGCACGGUAACGUGUUGAGGGCUUGAACCUCUUGCACCUCUUCGGUGCAGCG